rnacentral:rRNA from 1 species
UACGUAGGGUGCGAGCGUUAAUCGGAAUUACUGGGCGUAAAGCGUGCGCAGGCGGUUUUGUAAGUCAGAUGUGAAAGCCCCGGGCUCAACCUGGGAACUGCGUUUGAAACUGCAAGGCUAGAGUGUAGCAGAGGGGGGUAGAAUUCCACGUGUAGCAGUGAAAUGCGUAGAGAUGUGGAGGAAUACCAAUGGCGAAGGCAGCCCCCUGGGUUAACACUGACGCUCAUGCACGAAAGCGUGGGGAGCAAACAGG